AUUGAACGCUGGCGGUAUGCUUAACACAUGCAAGUCGAACGGUAGCAGGCCUUCGGGCGCUGACGAGUGGCGGACGGGUGAGUAACGCGUAGGAAUCUGCCUCAUAGUGGGGGACAACGUGGGGAAACUCACGCUAAUACCGCAUACGCCCUACGGGGGAAAGCGGGGGCUCUUCGGACCUCGCGCUAUGAGAUGAGCCUGCGUUAGAUUAGCUAGUUGGUAGGGUAAAAGCCUACCAAGGCGACGAUCUAUAGCUGGUCUGAUAGGACGAUCAGCCACACUGGGACUGAGACACGGCCCAGGCUCCUACGGGAGGCAGCAGUGGGGAAUAUUGGACAAUGGGCGCAAGCCUGAUCCAGCAAUACCGCGUGUGUGAAGAAGGCCCUAGGGUUGUAAAGCACUUUCAAUUGGGAGGAAAACCUGCCGGUCAAUACCCGGCAGCUUGACAUUACCUUUAGAAGAAGCACCGGCUAACUCCGUGCCAGCAGCCGCCGUAACAC
rnacentral:rRNA from 1 species